rnacentral:tRNA from 1 species
ACUUAAAUAGUUUAAUUUAAUAAAAUAUUGAUUUGUGGUGUCAAAGAUAUGUUGUGCAUUUUAGGUU